GGGGGCGACCGGUUUCGACGGGGUAAGAUAAUGAUAAGAUUGCAUGCAGAGGUUCGGGAUCCUCUUUAAUAUCCCCGAAAUAUCAAUAAAUGCCGAUUACGGCUACAUGGCAGCUGCUUAAUUAGCUCUGCCCGCUCUGGAUUAAGUUUGUCUGUGGUUUAAUCUAAGAGCGUCAUAAACGCAGACUGGUCCCUGGAUUUGUUUACUAGAAAGGGAUAAGAUGUUUUGUAAACUGGUUGAUAUAUGGGUUGUUAUUUGUCCGCUAUAUCAAUGAGAAUAAAUCAGAUGACUAUGUAUGUAGACGUUUUGUUAGAAUCUAUCUCGGACGGGAGUUCGAAUCUCCCCGCCUCCACAU
rnacentral:tmRNA from 10 species